UACAGAGGAGCCAAGCGUUGUCCGGAUUGACUGGGCGUAAAGCGCACGCAGGUGGCCGUGCAAGUGUCGUGUGAAAGCAGCUCGCUUAACGAGCUGAGGCCAUGGCAGACUGCAUAACUCGAGCCCAUGAGAGGUCGGCGGAAUUGCCGGUGUAGUAGUGAAAUACGUAGAGAUCGGCAGGAACACCCAAGGGGAAGCCAGCCGACCGGCACGGUGCUGACACUGAGGUGCGACAGCGUGGGGAGCAAACGGG
rnacentral:rRNA from 1 species